GCGUACGGCCAUACUACCGGGAAUACACCUGAACCCGUCCGAUUUCAGAAGUUAAGCCUGGUCAGGCCCAGUUAGUACUGAGGUGGGCGACCACUUGGGAACACUGGGUGCUGUACGC
rnacentral:rRNA from 2 species